GGGCGGUUAACUCAGCGGUAGAGUGUCACCUUCACACGGUGGAAGUCACUGGUUCGAAUCCAGUACCGCCCA
rnacentral:tRNA from 1 species